rnacentral:rRNA from 1 species
UACGGAGGGUGCGAGCGUUGUCCGGAAUCAUUGGGCGUAAAGGGCGCGUAGGUGGCGGCUUAAGCGUGCGGUGAAAGCUCGGGGCUCAACCCCGAGUCGGCCGUGCGAACUGAGUCGCUUGAGCACUGUAGAGGCAGGCGGAAUUCCGGGUGUAGCGGUGGAAUGCGCAGAUAUCAGGAAGAACACCCGUGGCUAAGGCGGCUCUCUAGUACGGUACUGACGCUGAGACGCGAAAGCGUGGGGAGCGAACAGG